rnacentral:rRNA from 1 species
UACGUAGGGUGCAAGCGUUAUCCGGAAUUAUUGGGCGUAAAGAGCUCGUAGGCGGUUUGUCACGUCUGCUGUGAAAACUGGAGGCUCAACCUCCAGCCUGCAGUGGGUACGGGCAGACUAGAGUGCGGUAGGGGAGAUUGGAAUUCCUGGUGUAGCGGUGGAAUGCGCAGAUAUCAGGAGGAACACCGAUGGCGAAGGCAGGUCUCUGGGCAUUAACUGACGCUGAGGAGCGAAAGCAUGGGGAGCGAACAGG